GACGAACGCUGGCGGCAUGCCUAACACAUGCAAGUCGAACGGUAACAGGCCUUCGGGCGCUGACGAGUGGCGGACGGGUGAGUAACGCGUGGGAAUCUGCCUAGUAGUGGGGGACAACCUGGGGAAACUCAGGCUAAUACCGCAUACGCCCUACGGGGGAAAGCAGGGGAUCUUCGGACCUUGCGCUAUUAGAUGAGCCUGCGUCGGAUUAGCUUGUUGGUGGGGUAAAGGCCUACCAAGGCGACGAUCCGUAGCUGGUUUGAGAGGACGAUCAGCCACACUGGGACUGAGACACGGCCCAGACUCCUACGGGAGGCAGCAGUGGGGAAUAUUGGACAAUGGGGGCAACCCUGAUCCAGCAAUGCCGCGUGUGUGAAGAAGGCCUGCGGGUUGUAAAGCACUUUCGGAUGGGAAGAAAAGCUCAAGGCUAAUAUCCUUGAGUCUUGACGUUACUAUCAGAAGAAGCACCGGCUAACUCUGUG
rnacentral:rRNA from 1 species